UACGUAGGGUGCAAGCGUUAAUCGGAAUUACUGGGCGUAAAGCGUGCGCAGGCGGUUGUGCAAGACAGAUGUGAAAUCCCCGGGCUCAACCUGGGAAUUGCAUUUGUGACUGCACGGCUAGAGUGUGUCAGAGGGGGGGUAGAAUUCCACGUGUAGCAGUGAAAUGCGUAGAGAUGUGGAGGAACACCGAUGGCGAAGGCAGCCCCCUGGGUCAAGACUGACGCUCAUGCACGAAAGCGUGGGGGAGCAAACAGG
rnacentral:rRNA from 1 species